GUUCCUGUGGCUUAGUGGUUAGAGCGUCAGUCUCGAAUGCGGGAGGUCGUGGAUUCGAUCCCUGGUUGAGUCA